rnacentral:rRNA from 1 species
UUGAUCAUGCUCAGGAUGAACGCUGGCGGCGUGCCUAAUACAUGCAAGUCGAGCGAACGGACGAGAAGCUUGCUUCUUCUGAUGUUAGCGGCGGACGGGUGAGUAACACGUGGAUAACCUACCUAUAAGACUGGGAUAACUUCGGGAAACCGGAGCUAAUACCGGAUAAUAUUUUGAACCGCAUGGUUCAAAAGUGAAAGACGGUCUUGCUGUCACUUAUAGAUGGAUCCGCGCUGCAUUAGCUAGUUGGUAAGGUAACGGCUUACCAAGGCAACGAUGCAUAGCCGACCUGAGAGGGUGAUCGGCCACACUGGAACUGAGACACGGUCCAGACUCCUACGGGAGGCAGCAGUAGGGAAUCUUCCGCAAUGGGCGAAAGCCUGACGGAGCAACGCCGCGUGAGUGAUGAAGGUCUUCGGAUCGUAAAACUCUGUUAUUAGGGAAGAACAUAUGUGUAAGUAACUGUGCACAUCUUGACGGUACCUAAUCAGAAAGCCACGGC